rnacentral:tRNA from 1 species
GCCUGGGUGGCUCAAUCGGUUGGGCAUCCGACUUCAGCUCAGGUCAUGGACUCGCAGUUCGUGGGUUCGAGUCCCGCAUCGGGCU